AGAGGGUGCAAGCGUUAAUCGGAAUUACUGGGCGUAAAGCGCACGUAGGUGGGUGAAUUAGUCAGCUGUGAAAUUCCCGGGCUUAACCUGGGCAGGCCAGCUGAUACUGUUUACCUAGAGUAUAGUAGAGGGAAGUGGAAUUUCCGGUGUAGCGGUGAAAUGCGUAGAUAUCGGAAGGAACACCAGUGGCGAAGGCGUCUUCCUGGACUAAUACUGACACUGAGGUGCGAAAGCGUGGGGAGCGAACAGGAUUAGAUACCCUGGUAGUCCACGCCGUAAACGAUGAAAACUAGCUGUUCGGGGGGGGUAGACCCCCUGAGUAGCGCAGCUAACGCGUUAAGUUUUCCGCCUGGGGGAGUACGGCCGCAAGGUUA
rnacentral:rRNA from 1 species